CGUGCACGAUGACACCUUGGAAAUGCUGUGACCUCCCGACUGCGCUGUGGGGGAGCUNNN
ensembl:snoRNA SNORD39 Small nucleolar RNA SNORD55/SNORD39